UCAGGUAGCUGUCCGACUUCAUAGGAUUGGCGGAAGGGUCAAAUAUAAUAUAUGGAAUUCUUUCUGGAAUGAAAUAAAAAGACAGCGAGGCAUCUAAGUGGGAGCACCAGAAGCCUGCAGGUCUGAGGACUCAAGGAGGCGGAGAAGAUUCUCUCCCUGCCUUGGGCCUUGGGAUCCCUGCUGUACCUUCAGGGUUUUCCUCCAUCUGUGCCUUUUUUCCUGGUCAAAACAGACUGUUAUUCAAGCACAGAGCUUUUUGUUCCUCUUUAUGUCUCUAAAGGCAACUGCAACUAUGUAGCCUAUGAAGCCCCUGAAAAAUCUAAGCCCACACCCAGGCACUGAUUUAAAUGAAAAAGCAGUAUCCAAAAGCCCAAGGAAAAUGGUCCAUUGCGAAGCUGGACAAUUUCCUCUCCUGACACAUCUUCACAGCUUCGUAGACUGUGAGAGAAUGCUGUGUUCUUAAAGUGCUUACCUGCCUCAAACUAAAGCAAUACCUCCAGGAGCUAUGUGAUACAUGUAAUAAACAUCUUCUUGUGCACCUUUAAAAGGCUCCCAGGUGACUCUAAGGUUCAGGUGAGAUUAAGCAGCACCGUCUCAAGGCUGUGUUUGCCCUUGAAACCCAGGUAGGAGGUGGACAGGUCUGGAGCACACUCCCUCAGCACUGGUUUCUGGUCCCUUUGUAGAUGAGAUAAAGCGACUUCUUCAAGAUCUGAGUGAUACAGUGACAAAUCCAUUGUGGAGCUUGCUGGAUCAAACCAGUGUGACAUCAAAGCCCUACACAGGUCCACUGGGUUUAGCUCCAAGUGGUCUUAGCGCGCCCUUAGAACACCCUUAGAAAGUGGAUCCAGAUCUGGGAAAGAAGACCAAGGACUCAUACUUAGGUGUCUUUCUAUGUUGUUAAUGGAAGAGUAAACUAAGGAUGUCCCUCUAAGCCCUUUCAGGACUUAGCCAAGAGGAGUCUCCAAAGCCCCGUGAGACAGCAUCCCCACAACCCUUUCUAAGGCCUGAAGGUGAUGGUUCUGAAGUCCUCUGGUUCCUUCCUGGAACAAGGGUCAAAUAGGAAAACCACAGAAAAAUGAGACUUCCAAGAAAAGUGCAGGCAUCCUAAGUUUUCAAAUAAAAUCUUACUUGAAGCCUAAGAAAAUGGAUUCAGGCAGCUUAAUUCUUGUUUGUUCCAUGCACAACCUAUCUUUCACCAAAUAGAUUCUGAGGCAACUUGAUG
rnacentral:lncRNA from 10 species